UAGAACUAAAAAUAGAAUGAGUGCGCU
rnacentral:sRNA from 1 species